rnacentral:rRNA from 1 species
UACGGAGGGGGCUAGCGUUGUUCGGAAUUACUGGGCGUAAAGCGCGCGUAGGCGGACCUGCAAGUCGGGGGUGAAAGCCCGAGGCUCAACCUCGGAACUGCCUUCGAUACUGCGGGUCUCGAGUCCGGGAGAGGUGAGUGGAAUUCCUAGUGUAGAGGUGAAAUUCGUAGAUAUCAGGAGGAACACCGGUGGCGAAGGCG